rnacentral:rRNA from 1 species
UAGGGAAUAUUAGAAAUGGACGAAAGUCUGAUCUAGCAACACCGCGUGUGCGAAGAAGGCCUUCGGGUUGUAACGCACUUUUUGGAAGGAUUAGGAAGGAAUGUACUUCCAGAAUAAGUCUCGGCUAACUACGUGCCAGCAGCCGCGGUAACACGUAGGAGGCAAACGUUAUCCGGAUUUACUGGGCGUAAAGCGCGUGUAGGUGGUUCGGUAAGUAGGGCGUGAAAGCUCCUGGCUCAAAUGGGAGAGGCCGUUCUAAACUGCAGAGCUAGAGGAUGGUAGAGUGAGGUGGAAUUCCGGGGGUAGCGGUGGAAUGCGCAGAUAUCCGGAGGAACACCAGUGGCGAAAGCGGCCUCCUGGACCAUUCCUGACACUCAGACGCGAAAGCUAGGGUAGCAAACG